UGUGAUUUGACUCAGGCAUGUUUAAAAGGUAGCUCUUGUACCAUGGAGAUGAAGAUUUGAUCCUGCAUUGCUCCUGAGGUCCCACGAAGCUGAACCCUAUAGAGAGAAACAUGGGCUAUAUCUUGCCACCUGAUUCCCAUUUGAGUUUGGUCGAGGGGAAGGACCAAGAGGAACUUGGAGAUCAAAAGGAAAAAGAGAACCAAUAAUGCACACCUACCAAAGGGCUACUUUGCACUCCACUGGGGCAGUGAAGGACCAUGAGCAAUUCUCCAAUGGUGAAGAUUGAUCCCAGUCAUGUAAAAAUAAGCUGCCACCUCUGGAGGAGCUGAGAAAUAUUGCCAAAAAAUAAGAGUUACUCUAAUAUUAAAAGGAGGACAGUCGGGAGUUGGCCCCAUCUCUUUUCCCUGUCCUGGUCCUAAGCCCAUCCUUUUCCUUUAUUCACUAGAUGGUCCAAAAUGCAUGCAGUUUCUCUUCCAGCCAGUCUCCUCAUUUCCUGGGACUGCAUCUGCCACUGGAGCAAAUCUGCUACUUUCUAAAGGUGAUCUAAUCGUAAAGAUGCCAACUGCAGUUAAGUGUCUCAAUAUUUCCAAGGGUUUAUAACUCGGCUAUAAAAAUUCACUUUAGGCUACAGCUUGAUGUAUAAUUUCUCAGCCCAGGAGUGAAUUUCUUUAACCAUUCCCUUUAAUUCAACACUACUUGAUUCAAUGUAUCUUUCAUGCUCUAAUAAUAUAUGUUCAUGAGUUGUUACCAUGUCAAUACAAAUCAUGUCCCUUGCUAAAGUAAUUACUGAGGGUAAAUAUGAAAAAAGUUAGAAUUUCACUGAUUCGGAGUUUGUGAAAAGAAAAUAGUAUUGAUCUUUUAUGUUACCCUCUCUUCUAUUCCUCCUUCUACUGGUAAAUCUUCCAUCUAUGAAUCCAGAAAGUUUUCUUAUACUCAAAAUAAAUAUAUUAUGGCAUUUGUAGGAUCCUGGCUUCUUUGCAGGGGGUUGUGUCUAAUUUUUGUUUCACGAUCUGGGUUCAAAUUAAGGUACAUCAUUUGACUAAAGGAUUGACUGGAUAUUCUAUAUCUUGAUAACCAGAAUUUGUAGAACUGAAGUAUUUAG